GACGAACGCUGGCGGCAUGCCUAAUACAUGCAAGUAGAACGCAGUGGCGAACGGGUGAGUAAAGCGUAGGGAAAAUGCCUAAUAGCGGGGGAUAACUAAUGGGAACGAUAGCUAAUACCGGAUAGAGUGAGAUGGACCGGCGUUGUAUUAGCGAGUUGGUGAGGUAAAGGCUAACCAAGGCGACGAUCCGGAGCCGACCGGAGAGGGGUACCGGCCACACUGGGACUGAGACACGGUCCAGACUCCUACGGGAGGCAGCAUUAGGGAAUCUUCGGCAAUGGACGAAAGCCUGAUCGAGCAACGCCGCGUGAGUGAAGAAGGUUUUCGGAUUGUAAAACUCUGUUGUUAGAGAAGCGUUAUCUAACCAGAAAGCCACGGCUAACUACGUGCCAGCAGCCGCGGUAAUAC
rnacentral:rRNA from 1 species